rnacentral:rRNA from 1 species
CCUACGGGCGGCAGCAGUGAGGAAUAUUGGUCAAUGGGCGCAAGCCUGAACCAGCCAAGUAGCGUGAAGGAUGACUGCCCUACGGGUUGUAAACUGCUUUUAUAAAGGAAUAAAGUUAGACACGUGUGCCUUGUUGUAAGUACUUUAUGAAUAAGGAUCGGCUAACUCCGUGCCAGCAGCCGCGGUAAUACGGAGGAUCCGAGCGUUAUCCGGAUUUAUUGGGUUUAAAGGGAGCGUAGAUGGGUUGUUAAGUCAGUGGUGAAAUGUUGCGGCUUAACCGUAGAACUGCAAUUGAUACUGGUAGCCUAGAGUACAGUUGAGGUAGGCGGAAUUCGUGGUGUAGCGGUGAAAUGCUUAGAUAUCACGAAGAACACCGAUUGCGAAGGCAGCCUACUAAACUGCCACUGACAUUGAUGCUCGAAAGUGUGGGGAUCAAACAGGAUUAGAUACCCGGGUAGUC